rnacentral:rRNA from 1 species
AAUAGAUACCCUGGUAGUCCACGCCGUAAACGAUGGAUGCUAGCUGUUAUGAGUAUCGACCCUUGUAGUAGCGAAGCUAACGCGUUAAGCAUCCCGCCUGUGGAGUACGAGCGCAAGCUUAAAACAUAAAGGAAUUGACGGGGACCCGCACAAGCGGUGGAGCGUGUUGUUUAAUUCGAUGAUAAGCGAAGAACCUUACCAAGGCUUGACAUCCCUGGAAUUUCUCCGAAAGGAGAGAGUGCCUUCGGGAAUCAGGUGACAGGUGAUGCAUGGCCGUCGUCAGCUCGUGUCGUAAGAUGUUUGGUUAAGUCCAUCAACGAGCGCAACCCUUGUAAAUAGUUGAAUUUUUCUAUUUAGACUGCCUCGGUAACGGGGAGGAAGGAGGGGAUGAUGUCAGGUCAGUAUUUCCCUUACGCCUUGGGCUACAAACACGCUACAAUGGCCGGUACAAAGGGCAGCCAACCCGCGAGGGGGUAGCAAAUCCCAUCAAAACCGGUCUCAGUUCGGAUAGCAGGCUGAAAUUCGCCUGCUUGAAGCCGGAAUCG